AGGGAGGUCAGCUAAUAAAGCUAUCGGGCCCAUACCCCGAAAAUGGUGGCUAACCCCACCCCUCACUA
rnacentral:tRNA from 1 species